GUUGUAUGGUUAAGUGACUAAGCGUACACGGUGGAUGCCUUGGCAGUCAGAGGCGAUGAAAGACGUAGUAACUUGCGAUAAGCCCAGAUUAGGUAGUAACAACCAUUUGAGUCUGGGAUUUCUGAAUGGGGAAACCCACGUGCAUAAGCACGUAUCCUUACCUGAAUACAUAGGGUAAGGAGGCGAACCGGGGGAACUGAAACAUCUAAGUACCCCGAGGAAAAGAAAUCAACCGAGAUUCCGAAAGUAGCGGCGAGCGAAAUUGGACUAGCCCUUAAGCUUUACACGCGUUAGACGAACGGUCUGGAAAGUCCGACGAUACAGGGUGAUAGUCCCGUAGUUGACGACGUGUGUUCAGUGAAAUCGAGUAGGGCGGGACACGUGAUAUCCUGUCUGAAUAUGGGGGGACCAUCCUCCAAGGCUAAAUACUACUGACUGACCGAUAGUGAACCAGUACCGUGAGGGAAAGGCGAAAAGAACCCCUGUGAGGGGAGUGAAAUAGAACCUGAAACCGUGUACGUACAAGCAGUAGGAGCAGGCUUUGUCCUGUGACUGCGUACCUUUUGUAUAAUGGGUCAGCGACUUAUAUUCAGUGGCAAGGUUAACCAUCUAGGGGAGCCGUAGGGAAACCGAGUCUUAACUGGGCGUUCAGUCUCUGGAUAUAGACCCGAAACCAGGUGAUCUAGCCAUGGGCAGGUUGAAGGUUGAGUAACAUCAACUGGAGGACCGAACCGACUAAUGUUGAAAAAUUAGCGGAUGACUUGUGGCUAGGGGUGAAAGGCCAAUCAAACCUGGAGAUAGCUGGUUCUCCCCGAAAGCUAUUUAGGUAGCGCCUCGGACGAAUACUACUGGGGGUAGAGCACUGUUAAGGCUAGGGGGUCAUCCCGACUUACCAACCCUUUGCAAACUCCGAAUACCAGUAAGUACUAUCCGGGAGACACACGGCGGGUGCUAACGUCCGUCGUGGAGAGGGAAACAACCCAGACCGCCAGCUAAGGUCCCAAAUUACUACUAAGUGGGAAACGAUGUGGGAAGGCUCAGACAGCCAGGAUGUUGGCUUAGAAGCAGCCAUCAUUUAAAGAAAGCGUAAUAGCUCACUGGUCGAGUCGGCCUGCGCGGAAGAUGUAACGGGGCUAAGUAGUAAACCGAAGCUGCGGCAAUGUGCUUUUGCACAUUGGGUAGGGGAGCGUUCUGUAAGCGGUUGAAGGUGUGUGGUAACGCAUGCUGGACGUAUCAGAAGUGCGAAUGCUGACAUGAGUAACGAUAAAGGGGGUGAAAAACCUCCUCGCCGGAAGACCAAGGGUUCCUGUCCAACGUUAAUCGGGGCAGGGUAAGUCGACCCCUAAGGCGAGGCCGAAAGGCGUAGUCGAUGGGAAACGGGUUAAUAUUCCCGUACUUCUUACAAUUGCGAUGGGGGGACGGAGAAGGCUAGGUGGGCCUGGCGACGGUUGUCCAGGUUCAAGUGCGUAGGCUUGAGAGUUAGGUAAAUCCGGCUCUCUUUAAGGCUGAGACACGACGUCGAGCCACUACGGUGGUGAAGUC
rnacentral:rRNA from 1 species